UACGAAGGGGGCUAGCGUUGCUCGGAAUUACUGGGCGUAAAGGGCGCGUAGGCGGACAGUUUAGUCAGAGGUGAAAGCCCAGGGCUCAACCUUGGAACUGCCUUUGAUACUGGCUGUCUUGAGUACGGGAGAGGUGAGUGGAACUCCGAGUGUAGAGGUGAAAUUCGUAGAUAUUCGGAAGAACACCAGUGGCGAAGGCGACUCACUGGCCCGUUACUGACGCUGAGGCGCGAAAGCGUGGGGAGCAAACAGG
rnacentral:rRNA from 1 species